UACGAAGGGGGCGAGCGUUGUUCGGAAUUACUGGGCGUAAAGGGCGCGCAGGCGGCUCUGAAAGUCAGAUGUGAAAGCCCCGGGCUUAACCUGGGAAUUGCAUUUGAUACUCUGGAGCUUGAGUGUGGGAGAGGAGAGUGGAAUUCCCAGUGUAGAGGUGAAAUUCGUAGAUAUUGGGAAGAACACCGGUGGCGAAGGCGGCUCUCUGGACCACAACUGACGCUGAGGUGCGAAAGCGUGGGGAGCAAACAGG
rnacentral:rRNA from 1 species